rnacentral:sRNA from 1 species
UGAUCAGCCCUGGAGACAGAAGUCCUCUAUCAACAAAAAGGCUACUGCAAUGCACGUUGCAGUUUGCAUUUCCUACAAUGACUCGCUGGUGUGCCAGAGCCCUGACCCAAAAGGAUUACUUUUAAGCUUGACAACAUGGUCUAGUUUCCACACCUUAUUCCCAGCCUUGUCUUAG